UGCCUCACAGCAAACGUUCAUGGAAUUUAAGUCCCGUUGCUUUUUGUUCUGAGGCCGAGGUAAAGAGACCUAGAGAAGCGUUCUCUGGCCAGCAGCGUUGCAGGAGCAGAUCUUUAGCCUUCGUGUUGCAGAAUUUUCUCCAGCGGCUGGUCAGGAUGAAAGAGGAAAGGAGACAUAAGAGUAAUUGCUGCUGAACGGAAAAAACGUUGGCAUCUCAGAGUUAUUACCUUUGGCAACUGAAGAUUUAACAAUGUGAUUUUUACUUUUCCUCUGUAAUUAUUUGAAUGCAUGGCACUUACACGUGGAUUAGCUUGAGGGCAGAUUAAACAGAAAUGUUCUAAUAGCUCCUAUUCUUAUGUAUAGAUUAUUUUCAUAUUUCUUAGGCUUUUUGUUUAUGUAUUCUGCUAUGUAAAUUAAUGUUAACAGUCUGGUUUGUUAGUGACUGAUUGUUGAGGGCCAUAUUCUGAGUAAAGAUUCUAAUUUUGAAAAUAAGUGUUACUAGCUGCCUAUUAAAUUUCUUCAUUUAAUGUAAAUAUGAAAACUUUAUUAUUGAAAAGCACGUCUUUCUUUUAAGGAAGCUGAAACCCUAAAAUAAAAUCUAAAAGUUAUUGCUAAUCCUGAGCAGCUAAUAGAGUCCUUCAUCCAAACAUUUGGAUCAGUUUUAUAUAUUCAAAGGGGUUUCUGGGGCUGAG
rnacentral:lncRNA from 1 species